AUGUUAUUAAAAUAUUAUGUGUCACCAGCGAGACACGGCAGCCACAGGACAACUAGAUAUAGUCAACAAUAAUAAUUACAGGAAUGGAAAGUGAACUAAAAUGAUGUUUGAUGGUUAUCAUAUACGAGUAUUUUUGAAUCCUUUAUGUAGACAGGUUGUUUUGAUUCCAGUGUUUAUAUUUAUUUUUAUACUAUUUAUAUGAAACGUGCUUAUGUAUCGCACGCGUUGGAUAUAUGUAUUACUUUAUGAUAUUGUUACUUAGGGUCUCAGCCACAGCACCGUUUACUUUUACCUAGGUAGGUAUGAACUUUUACCAUGUAAUGUAUGAGUAGUUAUAAAUAUAGAUGUAUGUUCAAAUUGCUGUUUUUUAUUGUAAUUCCCCAAAAUAGAUAGAAAUAUUAUACCUAACCUAAUAACAUAAAGCACCCUGUCGGGCUCAGCAAGCAACCGAGGCACAUGGCCAAAUGAUGUACAAAUCUCUCGGUUUUCUACUCUAAUAAAAGUUUGUCUGUCUGUAAGGACGCAACAAACGCAAAUUAUACAGGACGGCUUUUUGUCCGUACGGAUUACCUACCGUAAACAAAAUCAUAACUGUUUAAAAACUUACCUUUAUACAUCUCACUAUAUUAGUGUUGUCCUCUUCUUGUUUUGACAUUACAACACUUGAUAGAACGUCAAAUUACAAAGUAGCGAUGUCGUAAAUGUGACGAAAACAAGUUGUUUGCAACGAAACGUAAUACACUACACAUACAAUGAGCGAACCAAAAAAGAAGCCUGCCUCAGCGCCACCCGCGGCACAACCAUCACCUGGUGCUGGGAUGUCCUCAGCACCCCCACCACCCGCGCCACCACCCCCUCCCACAGCGGCUCCUCCAUGUAGCUUCAGGGGCAGUUGCCCUGCUGAUGUCCCCUUCUUUGCUGUAAUUGCAGGAAUGGUGGGUCUCUUUUUACGAGCCGUCUACCGCGAUUAUCUAGGGGACCAACGCGAAGCAGGAAAGAAUUAGAGAAGAGGAACAUACAGAAGCGUUGUUGGCAGAUAAAGGAGUGAAGGGAAGGCUUCCAGAGGUCGCUGGCUAUAACGACGGGCAAGCUAUUUUAAUGUUUUUCUAAUUUUCUAUUCAUUUUUGUACUUAUUUAGGCAUAUCCGUUUAACAGGGAUGUUCCUCUAUAAUAGUCAAAAUAUCUGCUUUAAUCAUAGAUAUAAUUUUUCUGUGGCUUCAGUGCUGAGCUCCGAGCCACAACUACCGUUUACUUAGCUUGUGCUUUCUUAUGUACGAAUAGAUAUGAAUAUAGCUGUAUAACUGAA